UACGGAGGGAGCUAGCGUUGUUCGGAAUUACUGGGCGUAAAGCGCACGUAGGCGGUUAUUCAAGUCAGAGGUGAAAGCCCCCGGCUCAACUGGGGAGGGUCACUCGAUACUGAUCGACUUGAAGGCAGGAGAGGGAAGCGGAAUUCCCGGUGUAGUGGUGAAAUGCGUAGAUAUCGGGAGGAACACCAGUGGCGAAGGCGGCUUCCUGGCCUGUUCUUGACGCUGAGGCGCGAAAGCUAGGGGAGCAAACGGG
rnacentral:rRNA from 1 species